ACACACACACACACACACAGCUUCCAAUGGCCGUGAGUAACGCUUCAUUCAAAUCCUUCAUUCCUGUAAAGCUGAUCUGUUGUGACAAAGUUGUGGAUCACAAAUGUCCCAGAACAUUUCUGAACAUUUCUGAAUAAAUUACCUACAUCACCUCUUCCAAUUAAAACCAUAUUAUUUUACAGAACAUAAAGUUAUUUAUCUGACUGUAAUGUGGUUCCUUCUCUUUCUGAACCGACUUGUUGACCUUGAAAGCAGCUGAUUGUGAGUUGGCAGGUGAAAUGUUGUGGUCGGUUCUCGGCUCCUGCAGGGUGCGACGCUAAUAAAACAGAAACGUGCAGCGGAGGGGAGCGUCCAGCGUCAGGUAAGCUGACGUCACAUCGCCGGUGGGAACAAACCGAAGAACCUCCUGACUGACGCAUCACAUCUGUCAUCCUGAGCGGCGUCUCGCCUUCAGCUGAGGCCCAGAGGCUCCAGGCAGCUAUUAGCAGAGCGCUAACGCCGAGCCGCAGCAUGGCUCUGCACAUGGCUCUGCACAUGGCUCUGCACAUGGCGCUGCACAUGGCUCUGCACAUGGCCGACAGGUAAACAGAGAAAACAAGCUGAGAACCCAGGUCUCUACCUUUGGCAUUAAUGGCUGCUGGAGGGAACCGUACAACUUUCUCCUACUACUCUCCAGUUAUUAACAUUCAUUUUCUGUUUUGUGCAAAUGCCGGGGCCUGUUUAUGGCAGAGCCGUUUCCCCACCUGAUGGUCCGGUAGAUUCAGUUUGAUUUGGACCAGAACUUCACCAUCUGCUCCACCUCCAGCUGCUCUGAGUCAAACCAACCUGUUCCCCUCCUGGCCUGUGGGGGCGCUGCACCAACAACCACUGAAGGAAACGACACAAAAACCUCUGAAGACACUGAGAGCAACUUCCUUCUUCACCAGAUGGAAACAAGAUGGAGGCAUCAGUGCUGUUUAGUUAGCACUGCUUAGCACUGCUAACUAAACAGACAUGAUAUUUAGCAGAAGCUAAAGCUAAAAUGCUAACCUUAACUCCUUGAACGAAAUUUUAUUAGAAAUAAGAAAUGAAUGAAGUGAUUGGAAAUUGUAUUAUACAUAAAUGUUUUCCUUUGUUAUUUGUUUGUUGGUUUUUAGAACUUUAUCUUUCGAUCUGCUUCUUUUUAUGGCCAAAUAAUUUUUGUUUCAGCAACCAGAACAUUUAAAUUUAAAUGAACAUCCAAACAUUUUGAGUUAGAAACAAAGUUAAAUAAAUCAGAUGGACUAAAUGUCAACGUCUUACUGAAACUGUAUGGUUUAUAUUUAACUGUCCUUUUUCAUAAAACACAACCAAUCACACAAGAACAAAUAUAAAAACGACAGAAAAAAGUCCAUUUUGAAUUCAACUCAUUAUUGCAGUUAAACUGGUACAGAUUAACAGAUUACAAAGCUCAUGGCACAGUCACUGAAAAAGAGAAAUGAGGCGUGUAUGUACAACAAGGAACGAAAAGUUAACAGCUCCGCUAAUAGAACCGAUGGAGGGGAACAAAAUGAGGAUCUGUAACCUGGGAGACGAG